AUUCUGCCCAUGCGGGGAAGGAUGAGAAGCUUCGACUAAGGUUCGGCUCGAGCGUCAGCGAGAGAGCGUUGCCGCAGGCAACGACCCGAAGGGCGAAGCGCGCAGCGCUGAGUAAUCCUUCUCCCACCACCA
rnacentral:sRNA from 1 species